rfam:Oryza rufipogon genomic scaffold, chr02
AAAUAGACAAACUCUGAGUUUCCGUGUCCAACGUUUGACCGUCCGUCUUAUUUAAAAAAAUUAUGAAAGAAAUUAAAAAGACAAGUCACACAUAAAGUAUUAAUCAUAUUUUAUCAUCUAACAAUAAUAAAAAUACUAAUUAUAAGAAAAUUUCAUAUAAUAAGGACAGUCAAACGUUGGACACGGAAACUUAGGGUUUAUCUUUUU